CCUACGGGAGGCAGCAGUGGGGAAUCUUGGACAAUGGGGGCAACCCUGAUCCAGCCAUGCCGCGUGAGUGAUGAAGGCCUUAGGGUCGUAAAGCUCUUUCGCCUGUGAUGAUAAUGACAGUAUCUGGUAAAGAAACCCCGGCUAACUCCGUGCCAGCAGCCGCGGUAAUACGGAGGGGGUUAGCGUUGUUCGGAAUUACUGGGCGUAAAGCGCGCGUAGGCGGACCAGAAAGUUAGGGGUGAAAUCCCGGGGCUCAACCCCGGAACUGCCUCUAAAACUCCUGAUCUAGAGUUCGAGAGAGGUGAGUGGAAUUCCGAGUGUAGAGGUGAAAUUCGUAGAUAUUCGGAGGAACACCAGUGGCGAAGGCGGCUCACUGGCUCGAUACUGACGCUGAGGUGCGAAAGUGUGGGGAGCAAACAGGAUUAGAUACCCUGGUAGUCCACACCGUAAACGAUGAAUGCCAGUCGUCGGGUAGCAUGCUAUUCGGUGACACACCUAACGGAUUAAGCAUUCCGCCUGGGGGAGUACGGUCGCAAGAUUAAAACUCAAGGGAUUUGACGGGG
rnacentral:rRNA from 1 species